CGGGUGCUAACGUCCGUCGUGAAGAGGGAAACAACCCAGACCGCCAGCUAAGGUCCCAAAGUCAUGGUUAAGUGGGAAACGAUGUGGGAAGGCCCAGACAGCCAGGAUGUUGGCUUAGAAGCAGCCAUCAUUUAAAGAAAGCGUAAUAGCUCACUGGUCGAGUCGGCCUGCGCGGAAGAUGUAACGGGGCUAAACCAUGCACCGAAGCUGCGGCAGCGAACGUAUCACCCAAGACAACUUUACGGAGUUGACGAUUGACGGAGCGAAGCGACGUCAAAGCGUUCAUUAAAGUCGAGUUGGCUUAGGGAUACGUUCGUUGGGUAGGGGAGCGUUCUGUAAGCCUGUGAAGGUGUGUCGUGAGGCAUGCUGGAGGUAUCAGAAGUGCGAAUGCUGACAUAAGUAACGAUAAAGCGGGUGAAAAGCCCGCUCGCCGGAAGACCAAGGGUUCCUGUCCAACGUUAAUCGGGGCAGGGUGAGUCGACCCCUAAGGCGAGGCCGAAAGGCGUAGUCGAUGGGAAACGGGUUAAUAUUCCCGUACUUGGUGUUACUGCGAAGGGGGGACGGAGAAGGCUAUGUUGGCCGGGCGACGGUUGUCCCGGUUUAAGCGUGUAGGUGUGUGUUCCAGGUAAAUCCGGUU
rnacentral:rRNA from 1 species